AUUCUUUACUUGACUAUGAUGUUUCAAAUACGUGUAGGGUGUGGAACUGACUGACAGUAGUCACAUAUGGACCAAUACGAGAAAGUAUUUGGGCUCUUGUUUUUGCAUCAUUUAAUAGGGCAAAAUUCUUUCUUCUUCAUGAUAUUGCUUACUUAUUAUUUAUAUGGGGAAGAGGCUUUUGUACUAAGUCAAGAAAAAACUCAAAUUAGGUAUAGCUUAAUAAAGCGGAUGCCUGCCCAAAAGAUAUUUUUGCACAACCUAAUCGAAACUAAUGAUGUUAUAUGCAUCAAUAUGCUUCGUAUGGAUCGUCGUUGUUUUAGUAGAUUGUGUAAGUUACUUCAAACUCAUGGUGGACUUCGUUCUUCCAAAUAUGUUUCUAUUCAAGAACAAGUAGCUAUAUUUCUAAAUAUUAUAGCUCAUCAUACUAAGAUUAGAGUAAUAGGUUUUCAUUACAUGAGGUCAUAUGACACAAUAAGUAAAUACAUUAGAAAUGUCUUGUGGGUUGUCAUGAUUGUGCAUCGGUAUAUGUUAGUCACACCCCAAGCAGUUGAGGAAGGUUCAAGAGAUAGUACAUGGAAAUAUUUUCAGGGUUGCCUAGGUGCACUUGAUGGCACAUACAUCCAGUUACAAGUCCCAGCAGUAGAUAAACCUAGAUAUCGGUCAAGAAAAGGUGAUAUUGCAACAAAUGUUUUGGCGAUAUGCGAUAGAAAUGAGAGGUUUGCGUAUGUAUUAAGGGUCUGCGUAUGUAUUAACUGGAUGGGAAGGGUCUGCGGCUGAUGGGCGAGUGUUGAAAGAUGCAAUUAGUAGAGAUAAUGGUUUAAAAGUCCCAACGGGUUCUUAUUAUUUGUGUGAUGGUGGUUACACAAAUUGUGAAGGAUUUAUAGCCCCGUAUCGUGGAUUUAGAUACCAUCUUCGAGAAUGGGUGGCCGGUCGAAGAGUACCUCAAAAUUACAAAGAGUAUUUUCAACAUGAAACAUGCUAAGGGGAGGAAUGUUAUUGAGCGCGUGUUUGGACAACUAAAAAGCCGAUGGGCCAUUUUAUGCAGCAAUUCCUUUUAUCCAGUUGAGACCCAAAACAUGAUAAUCAUGGCUUGCACGUACUUCCAUAAUUUUAUCAAGGAGAACAUGGAGUAUGAUCCUGUGUUUGGCGACGAAGAAUACAUCGUUCAACUUGAGCAAAUAACGUUAGCUAAUGACGGUGGACAUGAAGUAUAUAUUGAAGCUGUUGAAGCGUCACAAGCUUGGAGUGCUUUUAGGGAACAACUUGCUCAACAAAUGUGGCUAGAAUACUAGAAUUAUGUGAUAGAACUUGUUUGAUAUUUUGUAUUAUUUUCUCUGUUAAUCCAUGUCGAAUGGAACUGUGAGUUUUCAGAUACCUUGAUUAAUGAAGAUAUUGAGAUGGUUGGUCUUUAA